AUUGAACGCUGGCGGAAUGCUUUACACAUGCAAGUCGAACGGCAGCACGGGGGCAGCCCUGGUGGCGAGUGGCGAACGGGUGAGUAAUACAUCGGAACGUGCCCGGUCGUGGGGGAUAACGUAGCGAAAGUUACGCUAAUACCGCAUACGAUCUGAGGAUGAAAGCGGGGGACCUUCGGGCCUCGCGCGAUCGGAGCGGCCGAUGUCAGAUUAGGUAGUUGGUGGGGUAAAGGCCUACCAAGCCGACGAUCUGUAGCUGGUCUGAGAGGACGACCAGCCACAACGGGAAUUAGACACGGCCCAGGCUCCUACGGGAGGCAGCAGUGGGGAAUUUUGGACAAUGGGCGCAAGCCUGACCCAGCCAUUCCGCGUGCAGGACGAAGGCCUUCGGGUUGUAAACUGCUUUUGUACGGAACGAAAAGGCUCUGGCUAAUACCUGGGGGUCAUGACGGUACCGUAAGAAUAAGCACCGGCUAACUACGUG
rnacentral:rRNA from 1 species